CUUAUCUGUAACUAACACACAAAAGGAAGACAGUGCUAUUUAUUUUAGAAUAUAAGUCCUUAGAGGUUUUCUAGAUGUUGUCCUUGUCCAGGUUGUCUAGAUGUAAUCCAUACACUCCUUCCUCUUUUCCAGUUUAGCAAAGGAUGUCCAGCCUCUUUAUGUUCUUGUGAAUAAAUGAUCUCCAGUGACACUUUCAAGAAUUUGGCAGGUCAGAAGGGGGACUGCUGCUGAGCCAGUAAGCCCUUGAGGGGAUGUGUUACCCAUGCAUGGGAGAGAUAGGGAUGGCAUGCUUCAAAGAACGACAGCGAUAAGACAGAGCCACCUCUGUGGCCAUUCUCACCAUCUGUGCCUCCUUCCCCAUCUCAGGUUCUCAUCAUAGCACUUUUUUUCCUGGUAAAUCCCCAGAAUAACCAGAUCUCUCUCUUUUCUUCCUAUGGUUCUUUUCUCCCAAGUCUGUUCAUGGAUUGAAAGCAUUAUGAUCUGUGUUAUGGUGUUGUGGAGAGAAUGUGUUGCUCAUUAAUGAAAGUUUGUUAUUGUGUUGCACUUUUAUUUUACAGAUAUUUGAGCAUGAUGAUAAAAGUUUUCUGAGCAAAGAUACCUUGGAAAUCAAAAAGCUGCAGGAGCAGAAUGCCAGCCUUCGGGCUGCUAUUGCACAAAUGAGGAAAGAAAUGGAGAAUCUUGAUCAGCAGGUGUUGUCCUCUCUUCCUCUGACAGAAAGCAGACAGCUUGCAGAACAAGGUUCAUUGUGCACAAACAACAUUUCAACUGCAAACACUUUGAGUAACACCAAAGUCAGCUCAGCUAACUUGGAUUGUGUAGUAAACCCAGACACAGAAAAGGGGCCAAACGCCAAAGUUCUUGAAGAAGAGAUGGUAGAUCUUGGACAGCAGUUACCUGACAUGGGUCCUGGUAUUGGUCUUCAGCAUGGUGUCAGCUGCACUCUACAAGGAAUGCAAAAUAAACUGAGGGAAGCUGCAAGAAAAAUCUCAAUUCUGAGCCAAGAGAAGCAGCAGCUGAUUGAAAUGGGAAACAGACUCAGGGCAGAACUUGGAAUGGUAUUAAAGGAAGGAGCUGCAGUUUGCAAAGCCACAGCAUCCCUCAAGGAUCUCUUCUCUGCUUGCCUGCCCUAG
rnacentral:lncRNA from 1 species